rnacentral:lncRNA from 1 species
AAAUUUCUCCUUCGAACUCGUAUCCAACCCUACUUGAGGUGCGUACGCACUAAUCACAUUGAUGAGUUCUUGUCCUAUUACAAUCUUGAUUGCCAUGAUUCUAUCUCCUACCCUCUUGACAUCUACAACAUCUUGUGUCAAGGUCUUGUCCACAAUGAUGCCAACACCGUUUCUCGUUCUAUUUGUACCCGAAUACCAAAGCUUAAACCCUGAGUUUUCUAGAUCCUUUGCCUUAAGACCAACCCACUUAGUUUCUUGUAGGCACAUAAUAUUAUCCUUCUCCUCACCAUAACUUGAUAGGAGCAUAUUUAUGCGCCUUAGUUUAGCUUGUUCUUGUGCAUUUAUAGUGUUUUUCCUUAGUAAAGUAGUCUUUUAAGCUAGUUUCUUGUGUUCUCAGGUUUUAAAGGCAUAUUACAUAAAAAGAAGCAAUUUGGAGCCUUUUGGAGCAAAAUGGAGCUUGGAUUGGAUAUCACAUAUUUGGAGCCAAGGGUUUGGACGAAAAUGAAGAUUUGAAGAUGAUGAUUCCUACUUGAGCAAGGAUUCCUAGUUGAAGUAGGAAAGAGCCAAAUUGAAGAUGAAAUCCUAGUCCAAGAAGGUGUCCUAAUCAAUCAAGGAUUCCUAGUUGAAGAUGGAUUCCUAGACGAAUGAAGUUUCCUACUCAAACAAGGUUUCCUACUCGAAGUAGGAAAGUUAAAUCCAAAUGGCAUCAAGUUUCAGCAACAAAGAAGUUUUCCAAGUCCAAGAAGGAAAAGGAAUCCAAGAUGAAGAAGGAUUGACAAAGACAAACUUUCCUAAUCCUAAUGUACAAAGAUUUCAGCUGCAAAGAGGAGUCCUAAACACUUUAGGACACCUUAUACCUUCACAAUCAGCCUUAUCCCUUAGUGCCGCACCUAUUCCCUUCUAGAAAUCUGAUUUCCUUGCCUUGCAAGGCUUUCUAGAAGCCUUAUCCACCUUAUCUCUUACCUGCCGCACCUAGGAGGCCUUUUCCUUUGCAAAAUCUGAUUGUUUAAACCUAUUUCCUUGUGGAUUUGGGUUAUCCAAGUCCAUAUCUGAUUACCCUAGGGUUUUAAGUGCCUAUAUAUACUCAUAUUAACCCCUAGAUCAACCACCACCUCUCACAUUCAUAAAUCACGCCAGAAAUCUGCCCUAGCCUUUGCCGCAGCCUUCCACCACCAUUCUCCCAAAUUUCUGCCUAAAAACAACCCUAGCCGCACCACCCAUCAACCCUAAAACCUUCCCUACCAUUCCCCAUCCAUUCUACACCACAAAUAACCCCAAAAAACCUGUCUAAAGUUCUCUGCCGCAGCAAGGAGGAAUGAGGAUUCUUGGAUGCACUUGCUGCCACGUUGGAGCAUUCUAGGUGUUUUCUUUCCAUUGAUUUUAAUGUCUAAAUUUAUGUAUCUUCGCUUUGCGAGUAUGAGGAACUAAACCCCCCUUGGCUAGGGGGGAUUCGAAAUACAUGUUUAUGCUUGCGAUAUGAUUUGAUUACUUCUAAUUG